GACGAACGCUGGCGGCGUGCCUAAUACAUGCAAGUAGAACGCACAGUUUAUACCGUAGCUUGCUACACCAUAGACUGUGAGUUGCGAACGGGUGAGUAACGCGUAGGUAACCUGCCUGGUAGCGGGGGAUAACUAUUGGAAACGAUAGCUAAUACCGCAUAAUAUUAAUUAUUGCAUGAUAAUUAAUUGAAAGGUGCAAUUGCACCACUACCAGAUGGACCUGCGUUGUAUUAGCUAGUAGGUGAGGUAACGGCUCACCUAGGCGACGAUACAUAGCCGACCUGAGAGGGUGAUCGGCCACACUGAGACUGAGACACGGCCCAGACUCCUACGGGAGGCAGCAGUAGGGCAUCUUCGGCAAGGGACGAAAGUCUGACCGAGCAACGCCGCGUGAGUGAAGAAGGUUUUCGGAUCGUAAAGCUCUGUUGUAAGAGAAGAACGGGUGUGAGAGUGGAAAGUUCACACUGUGACGGUAUCUUACCAGAAAGGGACGGCUAACUACGUG
rnacentral:rRNA from 1 species